CAGUCGCCGCGGUAAUACGAAGGGGGCUAGCGUUGUUCGGAAUUACUGGGCGUAAAGGGCGCGUAGGCGGCCAUUCAAGUUAGAUGUGAAAGCCCUGGGCUCAACCUAGGAAUUGCAUUUGAUACUGUUUGGCUUGAGUUCGGGAGAGGUGAGUGGAAUUCCCAGUGUAGAGGUGAAAUUCGUAGAUAUUGGGAAGAACACCAGUGGCGAAGGCGGCUCACUGGACCGACACUGACGCUGAGGCGCGAAAGCGUGGGGAGCAAACAGGAUUAGAUACCCCUGUAGUCCCUGUCUCUUAUAC
rnacentral:rRNA from 1 species